GAUUAACGCUAGCGGCAGGCAUAAUACAUGCAAGUUGAACGGCAGCACAGGUAGCACUACUGGGUGGCGAGUGGCGCACGGGUGCGUAACACGUAUGCAACCUACCCUAUACAGGCGAAUAACCUUUAGAAAUGAGGGCUAAUACGCCGUAGUAUUACAGAUGGGCAUCUAUUUGUAAUUAAAGAUUUAUCGGUAUAGGAUGGGCAUGCGUCCCAUUAGUUAGUUGGUAAGGUAACGGCUUACCAAGACGAUGAUGGGUAGGGGAUCUGAGAGGACUUACCCCCACACUGGUACUGAGACACGGACCAGACGCCUACGGGAGGCAGCAGUAAGGAAGAGUGGGCAAUGGCCGCGAGGCUGACCCAGCCAUGCCGCGUGCAGGAAGACGGCCUUAUGGGUGGUAAACUGCUUUUAUACGGGAAGAAUAGAGUGUACGCGUACAUUUAUGCAAGUAUCGUAUGAAUAAGCAUCGGCUAACUCCGUG
rnacentral:rRNA from 1 species